rnacentral:rRNA from 1 species
GAUGAACGCUGGCGGCGUGCCUAAUACAUGCAAGUCGAGCGAACGGACGAGAAGCUUGCUUCUCUGAUGUUAGCGGCGGACGGGUGAGUAACACGUGGAUAACCUACCUAUAAGACUGGGAUAACUUCGGGAAACCGGAGCUAAUACCGGAUAAUAUUUUGAACCGCAUGGUUCAAAAGUGAAAGACGGUCUUGCUGUCACUUAUAGAUGGAUCCGCGCUGCAUUAGCUAGUUGGUAAGGUAACGGCUUACCAAGGCAACGAUGCAUAGCCGACCUGAGAGGGUGAUCGGCCACACUGGAACUGAGACACGGUCCAGACUCCUACGGGAGGCAGCAGUAGGGAAUCUUCCGCAAUGGGCGAAAGCCUGACGGAGCAACGCCGCGUGAGUGAUGAAGGUCUUCGGAUCGUAAAACGCUGUUAUUAGGGAAGAACAUAUGUGUAAGUAACUGUGCACAUCUUGACGGGACCUAAUCAGAAAGCCACGGAUAACUACGU